AUUGAACGCUGGCGGCAUGCCUUACACAUGCAAGUCGAACGGUAACAGGUCUUCGGGUGCUGACGAGUGGCGAACGGGUGAGUAAUACAUCGGAACGUGCCUAGUAGUGGGGGAUAACUACUCGAAAGAGUGGCUAAUACCGCAUGAGAUCUACGGAUGAAAGCAGGGGAUCGCAAGACCUUGUGCUACUAGAGCGGCCGAUGGCAGAUUAGGUAGUUGGUGGGAUAAAAGCUUACCAAGCCGACGAUCUGUAGCUGGUCUGAGAGGACGAUCAGCCACACUGGGACUGAGACACGGCCCAGACUCCUACGGGAGGCAGCAGUGGGGAAUUUUGGACAAUGGGCGCAAGCCUGAUCCAGCAAUGCCGCGUGCAGGAUGAAGGCCUUCGGGUUGUAAACUGCUUUUGUACGGAACGAAACGGUCUGGGUUAAUACCCUGGGCUAAUGACGGUACCGUAAGAAUAAGCACCGGCUAACUACGUGCCAGCAGCCGCCGCCGUAA
rnacentral:rRNA from 1 species